UACGGAGGGGACUAGCGUUGUUCGGAAUUACUGGGCGUAAAGCGCACGUAGGCGGAUUUGUAAGUCAGGGGUGAAAUCCCGAGGCUCAACCUCGGAACUGCCUUUGAUACUGCAAAUCUCGAGUCCGGAAGAGGUGAGUGGAAUUCCCAGUGUAGCGGUGAAAUGCGUAGAUAUUGGGAGGAACACCAGUGGCGAAGGCGGCUCACUGGACCGGAACUGACGCUGAGGCGCGAAAGCCAGGGGAGCAAACGGG
rnacentral:rRNA from 1 species